rnacentral:rRNA from 1 species
GAUGAACGCUGGCGGCGUGCCUAAUACAUGCAAGUCGAGCGAACAGACGAGGAGCUUGCUCCUCUGACGUUAGCGGCGGACGGGUGAGUAACACGUGGAUAACCUACCUAUAAGACUGGGAUAACUUCGGGAAACCGGAGCUAAUACCGGAUAAUAUAUUGAACCGCAUGGUUCAAUAGUGAAAGACGGUUUUGCUGUCACUUAUAGAUGGAUCCGCGCUGCAUUAGCUAGUUGGUAAGGUAACGGCUUACCAAGGCGACGAUGCGUAGCCGACCUGAGAGGGGGAUCGGGCACACUGGAACUGAGACACGGUCCAGACUCCUAGGGGAGGCAGCAGUAGGGAAACUUCCGCAAUGGGGGGAAGCCUGACGGAGCAACGGCGGGGGGGUGAUGAAGGUCUUCGGGUCGUAAAACUCUUUUAUUAGGGAAAAAAAAAUGUGUAAGUAACUGUGCACAUCUUGACGGUACCUAAUCAGAAAGCCACGGCUAACUACGUG